UGGCUUUAAUUAGAAAGAUAUACACUAAAGAAUCUCGUGCGUAUUAACUAUAUAGUAAAUCUUCGGCUACUUAACAAAGAACAAAAUUGUAAAUAACGAUAAAUUUUAUGGACAUAAACCAUGUUACCGAACGCGUACUUCAUUCAACAUUUUUAAUUGUGAUUUAUCGACCAAGAGAUUCAGGGCUAUGAGCCCUCACUUAAAUCACAUUUCAAUGACAUUUUGAAGCAAUUGUAGCUACCGUUAAGAAAAUUGUUAAGAGGUCUUUAGACGCUGACGCAAGGUGUGCUACAGUUAAUGAUUAUUUCCCAUCCAUCGAAGUUUCAUAGGACUUAUACGAAAUAUCAAGGAAUGAGAAGGCUUUAAAAAGAGCCCCAAAGGUGAUAAAUAGUUGAAAUUACUGUACGUAUCUUAAGAUUCUUAAUUUUCAUGUAAAAAUUAAAGUCUGUUUAAUUCACA